rnacentral:rRNA from 1 species
UACGAAGGGGGCUAGCGUUAUCCGGAUUCACUGGGUGUAAAGGGUGUGUAGGCGGGCGUGCGCGUCCGGGGUGAAAGGUUCCGGCUCAACCGGAAACAUGCCUUGGAUACGGCACGUCUUGGGUGCGGGAGAGGACGGUGGAAUUCCUGGUGUAGCGGUGAAAUGCGUAGAGAUCAGGAGGAACACCAGUGGCGAAGGCGGCCGUCUGGCCCGCAACCGACGCUGAAACACGAAAGAGUGGGGAUCAAACAGG